GCUCUCGUAACUCAGUUGGUAGAGUGGUGGUCUUAUGAGCCACAAGUCGCGAGUUCGAAACUCGCCGGGAGCA
rnacentral:tRNA from 1 species